CAGUCGUACUUGCGGAUAAUCAACCUUUAGAUGCGAUUUUGUGGAGCGUCAAGAGUUAAACGCCUUCAUGCCUGCAUAUUCGUAUACUUUGGGUGUACUUAUUCGUGUGGUAAGUUAACAUCAAUUUUGGUGAUCAUAAAAUGACUAGAGGAAUGUAGCUUCGAUCUCGUACUGAAGUGUUAUAGCCUUUGGUAGAUGUGAUGAUCAGGAUUGAGGUUUCAGUGCACGCUUCGGUUGUGCUUUGAUGCUGGCGUAAUGGCUUUAAGCGACCCGUCUUGAAACACGG
rnacentral:rRNA from 1 species